UUGUCAAAGUGACAUAUGGGGACAUUUUUAUGAAAUUUCACCUUACAUAUGAGGACCUGUUGAAAUAUGGGGACAUUUUCCAUGUCCCCAUAUUUCCCGCAAUGCUAUCGUGUUCUAGACCCUCCCAGCAUGUUCCCAGACCAAAAAUCUCUGAAGUCUUCAUUUGUCAAAUUUUCAGAAAAAGUGUGUGAAAGUGUGUUUAAUUUUUUUGCUCACCUUCGAUUUUGCCCCUAGUGGCCAUCUUUGCUAUUAUGACACACACACACACACACACUUGUCCUCAUAUGUCAUAUGUCCUCAUAUGUCAUGUGGGGCAGAAACUCACACACUCCAACAUUUUGAAAAACAUCUAACCAUUACAGCAAUAAACAUACUCUUGAAUUCUGAAUCAAAUAACAACACAUUUUCAACUGAUUUGAUGAUCUCAUCCUUUUUAGUGUUAGUUUUAUCUAUUAAUUUGGUUUAUCUGGAGAGGAUUUGGGCUAGACAAUUAGUAAUAAAGGGAUUAUGGUGAUGAUUUAAUUUGUUUGAUUCAGUAUUUUACUGUAUUGGACUUUUUGCUAUUCUGUUGACUAAAAUACAAUGCCGCACAAUAAUUGCUUUAAAUGUGCCUGAAAUGUAGGUUUUUGCAUAAAAAAAAACAACCUUCAACCUUGAUUGAGACAAAGGCAAUAAUUCAAAUGCAAUUCAAACUACACACAGUAUUUAAUAUUUUCAAAUGGUUACAAUAGCACAUUAUUUGGGUAUUUUUAUCUUUGGGGCAAAUUUAGGAUUAAUAUGGGGAUUGUUUUUGGAGGUAUUCACUUUACAUGGUGUUCAAGAUGGUUACUUCCACCCACUCUGAAGAGUCUCGGCGUCUGAUUGGUCCAAUUUUCAGUUAGGCGCCGCCUGAUUGGCCGCUGGACGAUGUCUGCUCCUAACAGAGGGCUAAAUCACUAGUUAACUAUUUUCAUCAUGGAAGUUAUACAGCUCAUGUAUCACACUUAAUAUUGAAUAUAUAUAUAAAAAGGGUUUUCCAAAAGGACCAUUUAUAAUCGAAAUACACAACUUCACACACGAUUUUGAGCACAACAGAGCGCUCAGUGAACAUCACUUCCGGGACCUGCAUCACCGGAGGGGGACAUCUAUCUUGGUCACAAACAAUCUUUGACAGUCUUCGACAGCAUGGUUGAAUCAGGCGCAUCAACACAUGAUAUAGACAUCGUGCCCAAAAGAAGAGCGAGACGUAAUCCUGAGGCUGAAGCCACCGAGUUUAUUUGAUCUGGAUGUGACAAGUCUUGUUUUAAGGCCCAGUGGAUCAAUGAUUGGAAAGACACCAACUGUUGAUGUUCUAUCUCAACAUUCUCCAGAUUCAUGUGAGCGAUAAACCGACUUCAUCCCUCCAACAGACACCAACUGUUGGGGUUCUAUCUCAACAUUCUCCAGAUUCAGAUGUGAGCGAUAAACCGACUUCAUCCCUCCAACAGAAACCAACUGUUGAGGUUCCAUCUCAACAUUCUCCGGAUUCAGAUGUGAGCCAUUAACUGACUUCAUCCCUCCAACAGAAACCAACUGUUUGAGGUUCUAUCUCAACAUUCUCUAGAUUCAGAUGACAGCCAUAAACCGACUUCAUCCCUCCAACAGAUUGACAGCAGGACAAAUCGCUGGAAGUGGGUAUGUCUCAAGCUUCUUCCACUUGGUCCACUCCAAAGCGGGCUGCCAAGGGGAAGAAGUGGAAGGAGUUGAAUGACACAUGUGGCAUUUUGUAACUGGCAACAAAGUACCAGGUAAAAAAGAUUGUGAAGCCUGCCUCCAUAAAGAACUAGUAGCUCUACAGGACAGAGAUUGGCUUGCCAUCAAGUACUACAUCCAUAACAGAAUUAUAUUAAAAAAAGGGAAAAAAAAUGUUUUCCCACAUCUGCUGUGGUAGUUUGAGUAUGUUACCAGCAAUUAAAAAAGCAAAAUAAACA